CUGUUGAUGCCAUCUAACAUAUUAAACUAUAACCUCUGAUUACUUCAACUCAACAGGCUGAUGGGUUACUACAUACUACCUGUGGGACACCGAACUAUGUUGCUCCUGAGAUAAGGGCUAUGAUGGUGCGUUUGCAGACCUUUGGUCUUGUGGGGUAAUUCUUUUUGUGAUGCUUGCUGGAUAUCUGCCUUUUGAGGAUGACAACGUCUCAGCCCUUUAUAAAAAGAUCUCUGGAGCUCAGUUUACUUGUCCCUCUUGGUUUUCUGAUGGAGCUAAAAGACUGAUUCCCAGGAUUCUGGAUCCUAAUCCGUCAACU